rnacentral:rRNA from 1 species
CCUACGGGUGGCAGCAGUAGGGAAUCUUCCACAAUGGACGAAAGUCUGAUGGAGCAACGCCGCGUGAGUGAAGAAGGGUUUCGGCUCGUAAAGCGCUGUUGGUAGUGAAGAAAGAUAGAGGUAGUAACUGGCCUUUAUUUGACGGUAAUUACUUAGAAAGUCACGGCUAACUACAUACCAGCAGCCGCGGUAAUACGUAGGUGGCAAGCGUUGUACGGAUUUAGUGGGCGUAAAGCGAGUGCAGGCGGUUCAAUAAGUCUGAUGGGAAAGCCUUCGGCUCAACCGGAGAAUUGCAUCAGAAACUGUUGAACUUGAGUGCAGAAGAGGAGAGUGGAACUCCAUGUGUAGCGGUGGAAUGCGUAGAUAUAUGGAAGAACACCAGUGGCGAAGGCGGCUCUCUGGUCUGCAACUGACGCUGAGGCUCGAAAGCAUGGGUAGCGAACAGGAUUAGAUACCCUUGUAGUC